ensembl:lncRNA
GCUUGGUUUGCUGUAAAGCACAAAAAGCCUGAGCGGGCGUGAGGCAGCGGUUUGGAAGGCAAGCUGGAGGUAGAUAUUGUGCAGCAUUUUAAGAAGUGUUUGUUUAAAUUUGUUUUUAGAACUAGCUUUCAGAACCUGUGUGAUUUUCAUCACAAUGAAUGAAGCUGUAUUGGGCUAGUUGAGGCAAAUCUAAUGCAUUUUGAAAUUCUCAGCAACCGAAGUUCCUGUGAAAGAGAUCCACACUGACUGCAAGGAUUAUGAGCACUUCAUCUGCUACAACUGCAAGACCAACCCCUUUCAUUUAUUGUUGUGAAAUAAAACGCUGAAAAAUGUGUCAGUCUUAUUUUGCAACGCCGGCUAAGCCUUGACUUGAACAAAGGCCGUGUUGCCCACAGGCCUGUUCCGUUAAUACGGAUAAUGAGCUAAUGGUUAGUAAGAUAUCAGACCGAUAACUGAGCAUGUUCAUUCAUAUGGCAUUGGCUUUACAACAUACCCUCAUUGCAUUACAUGUCAAUGAUUUAACAUAGAACACGACGUUUCUUUCGCUAGCUGUUGUUCGGUCAGGG